rnacentral:rRNA from 1 species
GACGUAGGGCGCGAGCGUUGUCCGGAUUUAUUGGGCGUAAAGAGCUCGUAGGCGGCUUGUUGCGUCAGCUGUGAAAACCCGCAGCUCAACUGUGGGCUUGCAGCUGAUACGGGCAGGCUUGAGUUCGGUAGGGGAGACUGGAAUUCCUGGUGUAGCGGUGGAAUGCGCAGAUAUCGGGAAGAACACCCGUGGCGAAGGCGGUUCUCUGGGACGGUACUGACGCUGAGACGCGAAAGCGUGGGGAGCGAACAGG